AAACUGGUGUAUUGCAGGCCCAGCAAACUGUGUCUGCUGUGCUUGCGAUCUCAUACAACAGGCUGCCAUAUGAUCCGGUGGUCACCGUCUGAAUCGUGAGCUUUUCCAGUCUUUCCUCUCGUCAUCUCCAGUCUUCUUCUUCGCCACUACACCUUCAUCUACACACAUCUUCGCCAUCUACACAGACAUCUACAUAUCCAGUCAUCAUAGUCGCCAUCACCAACAUCACCAUCAACAUAGAACUACUUCAUCUCAGCAUUCAUCAUUAUUAUGUUGUCUCUUCCAUGGUGUGAUCCAUGUGAUGAUGAUGCAGAAAGAAGUCUGUGUUUGAAGUCACCAACUACUCUUCUGGGUCCUACCUGACACCUGAACUGUGAUGAUUCACGCAACAGGUUGGCACUGGGUAGAUGAUAAGCAGGUUCUUAGAGUCAACGGGAGGUAAGGAAGUCAUACUUUUAUGUAGCAUUAAUGCCUGCAAAUGCAAUGACAUUUUCUCUAUCAGUGGUACAAAAAAAAAUUAUUUGGGAUUUAUAUAUUACACAUUGGACACGAUUGGAAGAGAGUUAAAACAGGAGGGUUUAAUGGGAUCACAUUUCCUCUAUCAAUUGAACAAAAUUAUAAGAAAUAUUUAGAAUAUAUAGAUUACACAUUGGACACAGUUUAGCAGGAUUAGUAAAACAUGAUGGGUAAGAUAGGAGGGGGUUGAAGUUCUUACCUAUUUUCCAGACUAGUUAUAAUGACAAAGGUCAGACCAUUUCAUUUCAUGUCAUGUCAUUCUUACAUUUCAUUUCUACAUUUCAUUCCUACAUUUCUUGAUAUAAUUGUAAUUCAACAUUCUAUAUUCUAACAAUGCAAUUUGUAUAUAGGCAGAAACUAAACCUAAGAAAAUAAGCAAAACGGGAUAAAAUGAUAAUAAAGUCCAUGAUCAAAAUAAAUAUCCCAAACAAGGGCAGAUUGAUCCAAAUUCCCUACUGGUUCCUCCAUUCCACAGAGGAUUUUUAAUUGGUUUCAGAGUGUCUAAGUCACUAUGUGGAAGGAAUCCAAAUCAUAGAGGGCAUUACAUGUGUACCCUUGAUUCAAAAUGCAGAGAGUCAUGGACAAAGUCAUGGACAAAGUCAUGUACAAAUUCAUGAGAAAGGCUCCUUCGUGUACUGGCCCUCCGUUUGACCUCCCAUCCCGGAGCGGUGGGAACUGUAGCCCAGAUUGGCAUGAAAGCAAUUGCUUUAUGCAGUCUGGUUUGCACAAAGAUGU